rnacentral:rRNA from 1 species
GAGUUUGAUCAUGGCUCAGAACGAACGCUGGCGGCAGGCUUAACACAUGCAAGUCGAACGCUCGUAGCAAUACGGGAGUGGCGGACGGGUGAGUAACGCGUGGGAACGUGCCCUGAGGUACGGAAUAACUGAGGGAAACUUCAGCUAAUACCGUAUGAGCCCCGAGAGGGGGAAAGAUUUAUCGCCUUGGGAGCGGCCCGCGUCGGAUUAGCUAGUUGGUGGGGUAACGGCCUACCAAGGCUUCGAUCCGUAGCCGGUCUGAGAGGACGAUCAGCCACACUGGGACUGAGACACGGCCCAGACUCCUACGGGAGGCAGCAGUGGGGAAUCUUGCGCAAGUGGGGGCAACCCUGACGCAGCCAUGCCGCGUGAACGAUGAAGGCCUUAGGGUUGUAAAGUUCUUUUACCCGUGACGAUGAUGACGGUAACGGGGGAAUAAGCUCCGGCUAACUUCGUG